UUUAACCUCCUCAGACUAACAUCUACUCAGGUGUGCACAGGGUGAGCUGGACAGGUACAAAACAUUCAGAGAACACACACUAACAAACAGAACAAUCAUCGAAUAUUUCUCAAGUACAGCUGACAAUCACAAUUUAUCUACACACACACACACACACACACACACACACACACACACACACACUGCAGUACAGUGUCAACUUCCCUCCACAGCUCAGCAAAGCCACUCAGACCAACAACAGAAAAGUCUUACAUCACCACAGUGGGUCUGACCCCGUCAACAGAUGACCCAUUUAUUAAUUACUGGAAAAUAAAAGUGGAAUCACAACAAAAUUCUCGUCUAGACUUUGGUCUUUGAUUUUUUUAUCCAGCAGCGUAACAGUGGAAUAAAGCAACAGCGGAUGUUUUAAUCCUUUGACCGUUGAUCAAUCGAGACCUACUAGGAAUCACAGACUUCACCACAGCAAGAAACGAACAGUAAAAGACUCCCUUCAAACUGUAAAUAUUAAAAAACAAUAAGUCUUUUCUGGUCAGAUUUUCUCCCACAGUCUCCGUCCAGCGAGGCAGAUUCAGAGGCUGACGGAGGAGAAGAAACGGGUGGUGGUAUCAGCAGAUCAUCAGGGCACCAUCAGUCAGGACGACAGCCCCGCUGUGAGGAAUGCGAUGUGGGGGAGCUUCGUGUGAACGGCCUCCUCUGGACUCCGCGCUGACAUGACGCUAAUGACUGUCAUUUAUCCACAGCAGCGGCAGCGGACGGAGAGGAAACAGUUGUAGAAGAAGCGACUCCACAUAUUCCCGUUCCACUAGCAGCUUGUCGUCCAGACAACAUCACAACAACUAAAGAUCAGGUUUUCUCUGGUUAUUCCUGCUCCCCAGAGGAUGAAUCCUCCUUUCCUCCAGCGCCACCAUCAGGAUGAAAUAUCCACUGAAACAGAAAUUCCACUUUAUACAAGAAAUAUUAAAAUCCUCUCGUCAUCACAUUCACGCUCCACUGGUGUCCAUCUCGUUAACUGACUAACUGAAUACGUCCUUAAAAUGAGUUAAGUUACUUAUUAAUGGUGGACGAGAAUACCUUAAAUUGACAUUAUUGUUGAAGAGCACCUUAAAUUAACAGGAGACGUUCAUCGUGCGCAAGCGCCAACGUGCAUGCUGCCUGUUGCUCUUUAUAUUCAAAGAGUUUCCCCUCGGGGAUCAAUAAAGUAUUUCUGAUUCUGAUUCUGAUCAGGCUGAAACGAGAGAUUUACGACAGUUUGCAAACGUUUUGAACACCGCUCGCCUCGCCCUCCCCUUCUGUGGAGGAGAAACUACGGCGGCCGUGAAACUUGUGAAAAACGCGAAAGGUCCUCUCUAGAGCCGGUGUCUGGUUUGUCCGUUCUGGGCUCCUGUAGAAACAUGGCGGUGCAACAUGGCGGCCUCCGUGGAAGGGGACCCGCUCCCUCUGUAGAUAAAAACGGCUCAUUCUAAGCUAACGAAAACACAGCGAGUCUUAUUUUCAGGGGAUCAAACACUGAUGAAAACACACAUUUCUGCCAAUAGAUCCUCCUGAAUGUUCCACACUGGAGCUUUAAGAGAGUUUGAAACUUCAGACUGUCACAACUCAGUUGAGACUUUGACUGCAGGAACCAAUAACUCCUCCGACUCUGCAGAUCUAUAAGCCUCCAUCCCACAGAGCUUAAAGCUUCCUCCAGCAGGUCCAGGACUCUCCAGGAGCCUUCAGUCCGAAGCAGGGAUCAAACCUGCGGCCCGAGGCUCAGCGCCACGCUGCAGCUGAGUUUACAUGCAGCAGAGGAGUGAUGUGUUUUGAUGUGAAAGAGGAGAGAGUGACGGAGGGGGGACAGAUGGAGACAGCUGGGAAAAACCUCCUCUCUGCUCCCAACGAGGAGCUGACGGCUCGGCUCGCCACAAAUCACAAACUAUUUACAAGCCCUCCAAAACAAACCAGAAAAUAACUUCCCCGAAGUCCAACUGCAGGACAAACCUCCUCUUAAGUGUCCGCAGCAGGAAAACAAAAGGCCUGUGUUUACUGGACGGACAAACACAGACGGACGCCGUCUCUUCGUUAAACAAAGACUUGAAGACGGAGACGGACGAAGCCGUGAGACUGAUGAUGCAGCUCUCAUCGCCGUCUGGAAACUCUCUCCUCAAAACUGAAAUUAAAAACCUUUUUUGUUUGUCUCUGUUUGAGCGUCUCUCACAUCCAGAGUCAGUCAGACUUUACAUCCAGCACAGAACAGAACGUUUUUAUUUUCAAAGCCUGUUAAACUUCUCAUUUAGAGAUGAAGGGAAAAUAUACACUGAAUUAAGGGGUAAAACAACUUCAUCUGCCCUCAACCAGACAACAGUGAAGACCUAAAUGCUGCUUAUGCCUUUAAAUAAACCUCACAUUUAGUUACUGGAACUGUUGCAUUUAAGAAAGUCUCAGUCUGUAUUAAAGGAAAGGUUCAACAUUUUGGGAAAUGCUCUUUCUUUCUGAAUGAGAUGAUCAGUCGGAUAUUAAUCUCAUGUCUGUGUGUUCAGUACACGGUUAGCUUAGCUUAGCAUGAGGACUGGAAACGGAUACAUGAUGGUAUGAUUAAGGUAUGCCGAAGCUGUUUUAAAUGAGGUUUGU